rnacentral:rRNA from 1 species
GUGAGGAAUAUUGCGCAAUGGAGGCAACUCUGACGCAGCCAUGCCGCGUGCAGGAAGAAGGCGCUACGCGUUGUAAACUGCUUUUAACCGGGAAGAAACCCCAGGACGUGUCCUGGGUUGACGGUACCGGAGGAAUAAGCACCGGCUAACUUCCUGCCAGCAGCCGCGGUAAUACGAAGGGUGCAAGCGUUAUCCGGAUUCAUUGGGUUUAUAGGGUGCGUAGGCGGAGCGUUAAGUCAGUGGUGAAAUCCUGCAGCUUAACUGUAGACUUGCCAUUGAUACUGGCGAUCUUGAGUGCGAUUGAAGUGGGCGGAAUGUGCCGUGUAGCGGUGGAAUGCUUAGAUAUGGCACAGAACACCAAUUGCGAAGGCAGCUCACUAAGGCGAUACUGACGCUGGGGCACGAAAGCGUGGGGAUCGAACAGGAUUAGAUACCCGGGUAGUCC